GAAUUCGCCCUUAGAGUUUGAUCCUGGCUCAGGACGAACGCUGGCGGCACGCUUAACACAUGCAAGUCGAACGGAGAAUAUCGAAGCUUGCUUUGAUAUUCUUAGUGGCGGACGGGUGAGUAACACGUGAGUAACCUGCCUCUGAGAGUGGGAUAGCUUCUGGAAACGGAUGGUAAUACCGCAUGAAAUCAUAGUAUCGCAUGGUACCAUGAUCAAAGAUUUAUCGCUCAGAGAUGGACUCGCGUCUGAUUAGCUAGUUGGUAAGGUAACGGCUUACCAAGGCGACGAUCAGUAGCCGGACUGAGAGGUUGAUCGGCCACAUUGGGACUGAGACACGGCCCAGACUCCUACGGGAGGCAGCAGUGGGGAAUAUUGCACAAUGGGGGAAACCCUGAUGCAGCGAUGCCGCGUGGAGGAAGAAGGUUUUCGGAUUGUAAACUCCUGUUGAAGAGGACGAUAAUGACGGUACUCUUUUAGAAAGCUCCGGCUAACUACGUGCCAGCAGCCGCGGUAAUACGUAGGGAGCGAGCGUUGUCCGGAAUUACUGGGUGUAAAGGGAGCGUAGGCGGGACGGCAAGUCAGAUGUGAAAACUAUGGGCUCAACCCAUAGACUGCAUUUGAAACUGUUGUUCUUGAGUGAGGUAGAGGUAAGCGGAAUUCCUGGUGUAGCGGUGAAAUGCGUAGAGAUCAGGAGGAACAUCGGUGGCGAAGGCGGCUUACUGGGCCUUUACUGACGCUGAGGCUCGAAAGCGUGGGGAGCAAACAGGAUUAGAUACCCUGGUAGUCCACGCCGUAAACGAUGA
rnacentral:rRNA from 1 species